CCCUCAUUCUGUCAUCACUGUUGUCUUGUAUAUCAGCUUUAUUUCCAUUUGUGAAUGGAGCACCAGACAAACUGCCAAUGGUUCUUGAAAAGAUAUUUUCUGCUGUGACAUUCAACUUGCCUGGCCAGACUAAAUCUACACGUAGUAAAGCGGUGAAGAAUGUCCGCCAGCAUGCCUGCUCCAUCCUGGUCAAGAUCUGUAAAGUGUACACAGAUCUUCUGUUUCCCGUGUUUGACAAGCUAUACAGCCACAUACAGGUGAUCAGCCGUGACACAGAGCAACUC